GGAAGGAUCAUUAUCUUAAACUAGCAUUUUUAAUGCUACUACCCUUUGUGAACCAAAAACCUUUACGCUUCGGUAGCAGGCAGUCCCAACUCGGAGCUGCUGUCAGCCUGCCGUUAGCACUAUUUCAAAACUCAUUGUUGUAUAAAUUAGUCUGAACUGAAUCAUUUUCGAAUGAAAUCAAAACUUUCAACAACGGAUCUCUUGGUUCUCGCAUCGAUGAAGAACGCAGCGAAACGCGAUAGUUAAUGUGAAUUGCAGAAUUCAGUGAAUCAUCGAGUCUUUGAACGCACAUUGCGCCCAUUGGUAUUCCUUUGGGCAUGUCUGUUUGAGCGUCAUUACAACCCCUCAGCGCAAGCUGGUAUUGAGUUAAGCAGCUUGGAAACCAUCUGGUUUACUUGGGCUCUUGCUUUAAAGUUGUACGCUCUGCUGGCUGCUUGUCUGACCAAAAACAUAGUAAUAUUAUACAUUGUUUUAUAAUCGGAUCUUGCACGCUCGGCCUGAACAAAACCAUUUUUCUUAGGUUUGACCUCAGAUCAGACAAGGAUACCCGCUGAACUUAAGCAUAUCAAUAAGCGGAGGAAAAGAAACCAACAGGGAUUGCCUUAGUAACGGCGAGUGAAGCGGCAAUAGCUCAAAUUUGAAAUCUGGAGCCUUCGGCUUCCGAGUUGUAAUUUGAAGAAGAGGUUUCGGUUGCGGCCUGGGCCUAAGUUCCUUGGAACAGGAUGUCGUAGAGGGUGAGAAUCCCGUACACGGCUACCGGCUUGCUUCCAGUGAUACCCUUUCGAAGAGUCGAGUUGUUUGGGAAUGCAGCUCAAAAUGGGUGGUAAAUUUCAUCUAAAGCUAAAUAUUGGCGAGAGACCGAUAGCGCACAAGUAGAGUGAUCGAAAGAUGAAAAGCACUUUGAAAAGAGAGUUAAACAGUACGUGAAAUUGUUGAAAGGGAAGCGCUUGCAAUCAGACUUACUUUCAGUUGAUCAAUGUUCCUUCUGGUUCAUGCACUCUGCUGUUUGUAGGCCAGCAUCAGUUGGAGCGGUGGGACAAAGGUUUCAGGAAUGUGGCUCACUUCGGUGAGUGUUAUAGCCUGUUUCGUAAUGCCACCAGUUCCGACUGAGGUCCGCGAUUCGUCUAGGAUGCUGGCUUAAUGGUUGUAAGCGACCCGUCUUGAAACACGGACCAAGGAGUCUAACAUCUAUGCGAGUCUUUGGGUGUAAAACCCAUGGGCGAAAUGAAAGUGAACGGAGGUGGGAGUCUUCGGAUGCACCAUCGACCGAUCCUGAUGUUCUCGGAUGGAUUUGAGUAGGAGCAUAGCUGUUGGGACCCGAAAGAUGGUGAACUAUGCCUGAAUAGGGUGAAGCCAGAGGAAACUCUGGUGGAGGCUCGCAGCGGUUCUGACGUGCAAAUCGAUCGUCAAAUUUGGGUAUAGGGGCGAAAGACUAAUCGAACCAUCUAGUAGCUGGUUCCUGC
rnacentral:misc_RNA from 1 species